AGCCCGACGCGGGGCUCGAACUCACGGACUGCGAGAUCGUGACCUGGCUGAAGUCGGGCGCUCAACCGACUGCGCCACCCAGGCGCCCCACCCUCUGGGAUUUUACCCGUAUCGGGGUCUGGCUGACCCGACAUCAAGAGCGCUUAUCACCACACAACAGCCUUUGAAACAGUGCUUUCCCCUCUCCUCUGUGAGGGGGCUAUGAGGCCAUUUCGCACACAUUAUCUCAGUCAGCUCUCCCAGUGGCCUGGCAGGUUAGGAUUCUCAUCAUCCCCAGUCUGCAGAUAAGGAAACAGAGGCUCAAGACGCAAGGCUGUGGUCCUCUUGCUCCCGGGGAGCUUGGUGAAGCACUUGGGCUCUUAGAUGCGGCAUCUCCCAGAGGCGCUGAGGUACCCAUGCGAGGACUCCCUGAUUCCUCCUAAGGUUUCCACAGUUCCAAGUAUCCAGUUCCAGGAGUUGGUGGAUUAUGUGACAAGAGUGUGGGCUUUUGGAAAGCCGGCCCUUUAGUAAAGCUGCCUUCGGGGUAGGAUACAAA